AUGUGGCCCUGGCUCCCCACGUCCCCUGGUGUCACCAACCCCACGUCCCCCGGUGUCACCAACCCCAUGUCCCCUGCCAUCGCCGACCCCACGUCCCCCGGCGCCGCGCCAGAUAACCAGGGGAAGGCUGGGGAGGAGGGGGGAGAGAGAAGGUCAGGAAAAGACGUAAAAGCCCCAAAAUAUCCCAAAGCCGUGCUGGGGAGGGGGAGGAGGGCAGGGCGGCGAGGGGCCCGCGGCGGCGAGGCAGCACCGCAGGGCACCGCCAGCCUCCGGCCGAGCCCUGCCUUCAAAAAGCGAGCGGAAAACCCCCCCCCCCACAGGCACCCAGAUGGAAAAAACACCGAAACGCCCGGGCCCCCCCCCCCCCCACCCCCCCCCCCCCAAGCCCCCACCCCCUCUGCCCCCUGCCCGCGGGUUGUUCCAAGCCCUCCGCUCCCCCCCGGCACCCUGCUCCCCUCCGCUCUCCCUUGCACUCUGGUAUUUGGUGUGUUCCUCAGCUGCAGGAAAUUCCUGAUGCUCUCCAUCAUGCAGGCUGCGCUCGCAUCCCCCGCCCUGCCAAGGCUCCCCUCCAAAGGACAGACAUGUGCUGGACAUCCAGCGCACACGACGGCAGGAAUCUCUCCCCUCCCCGCCACGGCCGGGGAUUUGCUCUCCCGCUCGCCUGCGCCUUUUCUCCCCUCUCUCUCUCUCUCUCUCUCGCUCUCUCUUUCUCUCUCUCGCCUUUUUAUUUUAAACUCCAGCCCUGCAAACGAGCCCCCUCCUUCCCCGCGAGAGCUGGCGGGAGGCUGCGGGCGGGUGGCAGUGUCUGAAGCAACCCAGCCCUGGCCGUUCCCCUGCCUGCCUUUUUCCCUCCGUCUCUCUCUCUCUCUCCGCGAGACCGCUCCUGAUCUUAUUUUAAUUCGUCUCAGACGGUGUUGGAGUGUUAUUUUAAGAGAGAGGAUAUGCACAGACAUUGUGUUUUCUGCUUUUUCCUGGCCCCAAGCCAGGCUCUCUGGGCUGUCAGCUACCCACUGUGUUGCAGUCACGUGUGGGAAGAGGCAGCCAGAGCCAGCCUCACAACUCCUGGUAGCAACAUGGAAAUCAAGUGUGCACUUUCUUCCCUCUGUAUGUGUCUGUAUUAUUAAUAGCGUCUCUCUCCGUGAGUUAUCCAUAAUGUAUCUUAAUACCUGUCCGUCUCUAAAUGAUGUAUUACGGUGUGCGCGCGCGAUGGCGGCGGUGCCACUCGGGGGGAAGGCGCCGUGCCGGUGCCGGCAGCGCCCCGGGGUGAGGCACGGCUGCGAUCCUGCCCCACCGACACUGACACCGGGUGCUGGGAGCCCACGCAGGGACACAAACCCGCCCCAUGGGGCCCCUCCCUGUGGUCACCAUUCAGCCACGUUGGGGAUGUCGCGGGGACGCAGCGAGCCGCUCGCGGUGCCACCACCCCCGGGGGCUGGGGGAUUCGAGGCGCCCUGA
rnacentral:lncRNA from 1 species